rnacentral:rRNA from 1 species
CGGAGGGUGCGAGCGUUGUCCGGAAUCACUGGGCGUAAAGGGCGCGUAGGUGGCCGAGCAAGGUCGCGGUGAAAGCCCGGGGCUCAACCCCGGGUCGGCCGUGGCAACUACUCGGCUCGAGCACUGUAGGGGCGGGUGGAAUUCCGGGUGUAGCGGGGGAAUGCGUAGAGAUCCGGAAGAACACCGGUGGCGAAGGCGGCCCGCUGGGCAGGAAGGCUCGCAAGAGCCGGCUGACACUGAGGCGCGACAGCGUGGGGAGCAAACAGGAUUAGAUACCCUGGUAGUCCACGCCGUAAACGAUGGGCACUAGGUGCCUGGGGGAGCGACCCUCCGGGUGCCGGCGCUAACGCAUUAAGUGCCCCGCCUGGGGAGUACGGCCGCAAGGCUG